rnacentral:lncRNA from 1 species
CUCCACAGUCUAUGGGCUGAUGUCAUGUGGCUCUCUCAUAAAUGGGAAGGAGCUUUACGCAUGGCUGGGGAAGCCUCAGGAAACUUAUAAUCAUGGCAGAAGGAGAAGCAGGCACCUUUUUCACUAGGAGGCAGAAGAGAGAAGUGCAAUCAGGUGAAAUACCAGACGCUUGUAAAACCAUGAGAUCUCGUGAGAACUCACUCACUAUCACGAGAAUUCCAUGGGGAAAACUGCCCCCAUGAUCCAAUCACUUCCCACCGGGUCCCUCCCUCGACACGUGGGGAUUAUGGGGAUUACAAUUUAAGAUGAGAUUUGGGUGGGGGCACAGCCAAACCAUAUCAAAUAUCAGCUCCAAAUGUCUUGGCCCAUCUUUCCGUGUCCCCCUACCCUACACAGCCUCUCUCACCAUUUUCC